rnacentral:lncRNA from 1 species
UGCCUCCUGUGGUUACCCUGUUCAUCCAGGCCCUGUAUGGUGAAACAAGUCACUUAGCUGCUUAUUCUCAUCCAAAGAACAGGUGAAGACAAAGUAGGAGCAGAAGCAGAGGCUGUUGGCCCAGGCUGAGGAGCAUUAAUCAUGGAGAGACCAUCUAUCCUUCACACAAGUGCCAAUGCUGUUUCUUCUUUGAUGGGAAACAAGAAUGUUUAGCUAGUGAUGAACAUUCAAGAUGUAGACCCUGUUAGUCUGAUGGCCCUUUUGACUGCCUUAUAUUCUACAAUAGAAUCCUCUACUGAAUAUUCAAGAAAGCGGGCUGUGGUACCUGAAGCACUGGGAGACUUGUGGUAGCAUUGCUUUCACAGAUGUGAACUUGGAAGACAAAGACGUUCAGGCUAAGCUGGUAGAAGCUAUCAGGAUGAGUCACAACAUCUGAGAGGAUAUCCACCAUCAACUAGGGACUCAUCUUGGACAAAAGUUUAUGGCUUGAACUGCCAAACUGGAAAAGUCGAAGUUGAAAUAAAUCAUUAUCAAA